rnacentral:rRNA from 1 species
CCCGCUGAACUUAAGCAUAUCAAUAAGCGGAGGAAAAGAAACUAACAAGGAUUCCCCUAGUAACGGCGAGUGAAGCGGGAGAAGCUCAAAUUUAAAAUCUGGCGCUUUCAGCGUCCGAGUUGUAGUCUCGAGAAGUGUUUUCUGUACUGCCCGCUUGUAAGUCUGUUGGAAUACAGCGUCACAGUGGUGAGAACCCAGUACGCAACGCGGCGCCAGUGCUUUGUGAUACACUUUCGAAGAGUCGAGUUGUUUGGGAAUGCAGCUCAAAAUGGGUGGUAAAUUCCAUCUAAGGCUAAAUAUUGGUGAGAGACCGAUAGCAAACAAGUACCGUGAGGGAAAGAUGAAAAGCACUUUGGAAAGAGAGUUAACAGUACGUGAAAUUGUUGAAAGGGAAGCGCUUGAAGUCAUACUUGCAUUCGGAUCCGUCCGGGUGCAGGCCAGCAUCAAUUUUCGGGGCCAGAAAAGGGUGAGAGGAAUGUGGCAGCUCAGGCUGUGUUAUAGCCUCUCACUGGAUCCGGCUUUGGGGAUUGAGGAACGCAGCACGCUUCUUUGCGAGUCCCAAGGGACUUUCGUGCUUAGGAUGCUGGUGUAACGGCUUUAAACGACCCGUCUUGAAACACGG